rnacentral:rRNA from 1 species
CAGUAGCCGCGGUAAUACGGAGGGUGCAAGCGUUGUCCGGAUUUAUUGGGUUUAAAGGGUGCGUAGGCGGCUAUUUAAGUCAGCGGUGAAAGACUCCGGCUCAACCGGAGCAGUGCCAUUGAUACUGGAUAGCUUGAGUGUUGGAGGGGUACAUGGAAUUGAUGGUGUAGCGGUGAAAUGCAUAGAUACCAUCAGGAACACCGAUAGCGAAGGCAUUGUACUGGCCAACAACUGACGCUGAGGCACGAAAGCAUGGGGAGCGAACAGGAUUAGAUACCCCGGUAGUCCCUGUCUCUUAUAA